GACGAACGCUGGCGGCGUGCUUAACACAUGCAAGUCGAACGGUAGCACAGAGAGCUUGCUCUCGGGUGACGAGUGGCGGACGGGUGAGUAAUGUCUGGGAAACUGCCUGAUGGAGGGGGAUAACUACUGGAAACGGUAGCUAAUACCGCAUAACGUCGCAAGACCAAAGAGGGGGACCUUCGGGCCUCUUGCCAUCAGAUGUGCCCAGAUGGGAUUAGCUAGUAGGUGGGGUAAUGGCUCACCUAGGCGACGAUCCCUAGCUGGUCUGAGAGGAUGACCAGCCACACUGGAACUGAGACACGGUCCAGACUCCUACGGGAGGCAGCAGUGGGGAAUAUUGCACAAUGGGCGCAAGCCUGAUGCAGCCAUGCCGCGUGUAUGAAGAAGGCCUUCGGGUUGUAAAGUACUUUCAGCGGGGAGGAAGGUGUUGCGGUUAAUAACCGCAGCAAUUGACGUUACCCGCAGAAGAAGCACCGGCUAACUCCGUGCCAGCCGUCGCGGUAA
rnacentral:rRNA from 1 species